AACGCACCUUGCGCUUCUUGGUAUUCCGAGAAGCAUGCCUGUUUGAGUGUCAUGAAAUUCUCAAUCUUUAUUGGCUUUUGACAAAAAGCUGAUGGAAGGUUUGGAUCAUUGAGAGUUGCUGAAUUUUAAACGAAUUCAGCUCUUUUCAAAUAUAUUAGCAAAAAUCAUGCCCGAUCAUUGAUGGUAUAAUAAUUAUCUAUACUAUUGAUAUUGGAUUUCUUUUUGCUUCUAACUGUCUUUCUUAAAAGACAAACAAAAUGACAACUUUGACCUCAAAUCAGGUAGGAUUACCCGCUGAACUUAA
rnacentral:misc_RNA from 1 species